CGGGGAUGGGCGGGGCUUCGUCUGCGCUAUUGUCAUGGAAACGACAAGCCAGAGGCAGCGUUGGCUGGUCCUGCAGGCGGAGAAGGCUGCAAGCCCGCGGAGACAGGAGCGAGGCGGAGUGCCCUGGACGGCUGGAACGUGGAGAAACCAUGGCGGCCGCUCCAGCUCACCCUCCUGGGCUCGUUGCUGGCCCAGGUCGUGGUGGGGAGCGCCCCGGAGCGUCCCCGCCCUGCUCCCUUGGCUCCCGCCUCCUGCGGCCGUGCAGCGCCUCCUCGCCCGCCCCCGGCUCCGCCCGCCGUCGCUACAGCUCCUCGCGCUAACGGUCGGUGGCAGCCCGCGUGCGCCGCCCUCCGGGGGCUCGCGCCUGCCACGAGGGAGCGUCCGCGGCCCGUGCGCCCAGCCGCAGAGGAGAGGUGAGCCCCGGCCGGGCCGCGUCCCCUGCCUGCCGCGCAGCCGGCCUCCGCGCGGGGACCGUCUCUGUGUCCCCUCGUGGGCCAGGAGGACGUGGCGCGGCCCGGUUUGUGGACUGCGGGAGUAUCCGACCCGCCUCUGUGGGUGUCACCGGGUGUCGGCCGGCGCGCGUGGGCGUGUCCUCCCGGUCCACGCGUGUUCUCUCCAUCACUGUCGCCUUUCGUUCGGGACGACGGUUUCAGAAAUGGAGCCAUGGAGCACACAGUUCAUAACAGAGCUACUGUGCUGGUUAUUGGAAGGAGGAGAUUCAGAAAAUAGUGAGGAUCCUGUUGUGCAGCCCGGGCUGGCCUGGAACUUCACAGUCCUCCUGCCUCCAGCAUCCUGAGUGUUUGCAUUGCAGUGCUACAGUGAACAUUGGGAUGUUAAUAUCUCUUCAAGAUCCUGACUGCAGAUUUUUUUUGAGAAAUACCCAGAAGUGGAAUUGCUGCAUCACUGUGGGCUUCAGAACAGUGCAGAGAUUAUAGUGUCCCUUGUGUCAUAGUCAAGAGGCCAUCGGUGCAGAGGUAUAGAGUGACUCUCUCAAGGUCACCCCACUGUUGGCUCUCACAGGUUUGGGCCCAGACCCUCUGCUUCCAAUGCCAAGUGAUUAAUUUCACUCUCAGUCUUACUCCGAUCGGUAAUGCUUCUGCUGAGACUCCUCAUUCAGUAAAACCUGUUCAGGGGAUCAUCUCUGUUAGACAGACAGCUGCCAAAAAGACCUUCACUUCUGUGAGCAUGGGUUUUAGAUUAUGGCCAGUCAAGACUCAGAGCUGGAAGAACACCUGUCAGAACCGUUUUUCUACAAGAAGAUGGUCUCUUUAAUCACAUUUCAUUCUCCUUCAGAGAAAGGUUCAUUUUAAAAUGUGGCAUUUCUGUUAUGAUUCAUUGUUUUCAGCUGAAACACCAAUUUGGAGCUGAUUUAUGACAUCGUUCUAUGGUGAAACGAGAAACUGCAACAAAGUGUUUAAGAAGGAAGGACUUUCCCAGACAUUUGGUUUGUGGCUUUCUCUUUUAGAAAAAAAUCUAAAGUUUAUUUUGAACUUUUCUUUGUGAAUAUAAUUAAUGAUGGGAAUUCUUCAAGCAAACUUUCAAAAUAUUUAAACUAAAUUGUGAAAACAUGUCAUGGAAUCUGGGGAACUUUCCUGUGUUGAAAUUUGUUACAUUUAUCUUGAACAAUACAAAGUAUUAUUGAUACUGACUGGUGUUUAGAGAAACUAUACUUGACUUUGAACUUAUCUCUAAUUGGCACUGCUAAGUACUUAAAACACAGGUACUUUCUCACAUCUGCAGACUGUAUUGAGUAUAACUAUUAGAAGACAAACUUCAUUUUGCAAACUGUAAUUUAAUGGUAUAACUGUGCAGAGCAGAAUAUCAGUUAAUUUUCAAAACAUUUUAUUCUACACCAAUUAGCUCAGGUCCUGGAGGGCAAAAUGACAAGAGGUUACUCGUUCACUAUGUAUUUAAUUAAUUGAAAAAUGCUCAAAUUGCUUUUACAGUUGUUAUUAAAAAGUAGAAUCAGUGUUGCCAGUGCUCAACCAUAAUUGGAACCCCAGGGAAUUAAAUAUUUAGCAUUAGUAAUGUAACAGCACUUAGGACACAAAUUUCUAUUUUCGUAAUGAAAGCUAUACACUGUGAGUGCAGGCGGCUGAAACGACAGCUGUGACAAGUGAAACGGCCUGGGAUAUUUCAAUAAGACACCUCAUUGGACAGCAAGUCUUACCACAUUACCCGUUUGUAAGAGAUCUGCAAGUUUAAUUCCCAACAGAAACCCGUUACCCAAGUAUUUAGAUUUCUAAUUGCAUGUGGGAUGAACAGUUGGGCAAAUGUCUUGCCAUAAGUGGCUGAAACGUAUAGUGCUUUCUAAAUAAUCCUAUAUAAGUUCAUGCCUUUGUCAAUUUAAAAAGAGCAGGACUGUCAGGGAAUAAAGAUCUUGUUUGUUUUAAGUUUAAUUACAUUUUAAGCAUACAAGCUUUCAGUGCUACAAUGAGAAAAGUUGGAUAUUGGACUCUAAUGAGCUGCAGUGGUAGACGGCUAGAGACCCUAAGGGAUUCACUCCUUAAAUUAACUGGAUAAAAGUACUUGCUUAGGAUAUAGUUGAUGGCUGAGCUGUUCUUAAAACCCAGUUAUAGAGCUGUCUCUCACUCCUGUUUUCAUUCUAAACAGGCCCUGUAGAGAUUUUAACAGCCGCCUGUUACAACUGUUCAACUUGUCAAAAUGUAUUAUAUUACUCCACUAAUAAAUAGUAUUAAAG
rnacentral:lncRNA from 1 species